GUUGCAGUAGUUUUGUAUGCUUGAUAUUGGCAUGCAUGCUUGGUUUUUGACGUGUAUACUUAGUAUUGGUGUGUAUGCUUGAUGUUAGCAUGUAUUCUUGGUAUUGGUUUGGAUGCUUGGCAUUACCGUGUACGCUUGACAUUGGUCUGUGUGCUUGGUAUUGGCUAAAGUGACAUCGUUUAAUAUAGCUUUUGGGUUAUUUACCAUGGUAGAUGUGCUUGAGUGUUUGGGUUUUGGCAUUUAUGUAGGGGUUUUUUAUUUAUUUAUUUAUUUGUUUAUUUUUUCAUUUUUAUUUUUAAGUAGCUACAGAGAGAGAGGGCUUGGAUUUCUUAUGAGAAGCAGAGGAUCAAAGUAAGGGGAAAUGGAAUUUUGGGAGACAAAAGAGAGGAAUAGAUGAGGGUGAAAGUACUAUAGCCUGUAAAAUUUGUAGAAUUUGUAGAAUUUUUCUGAUGCCUCAAAGUUAGUCUGCAACUUCUGUGUCUAUCCAUGGCUGGCUUGAUUGAGAGGUUCCAAAGCAUGAGAAAUGCCAUCUUCUUACUAAUUUGCUAGGAAUUUGGCAGUAUGAAGGCUUGAUUGAGAAGUUUCAAAGCAUGAGAAAUGCCAUCUUCUUACUAAUUUGCUAGGAAUUUGGCAGCAGGAAGGUGAGUUUUGGUUGCUUGCACCUUGCCUUGCGAUAUGAAGGCUUUUGGAGGAUUUGAAACUGGCAGGAUGUUUGAAAUCAGGCAUGUGCUGGAAGGAUGUUUGAAAUAGGGCAAGAGCUAAGAAGAUUUGAAAUAAGGGAAGUGCCUAGAGAAUGUUUAAGAAGGUUUGAAAAAAAAAAUAAGGCAAGUGGUGGAAAUUAUUUGCUUGUAGAGUAGGAGCUGGAAGAAUGUAUCUUGGCUUGUUUCAAAAAAGGGGAAAUAGAAAACUGUUUGUCACCAUAAUGCAAGAUUAUCUAGGCUUGUUGUAACCAAAGAGAUGGUUUAUACUGUACGGCAAAAAAGGUGGAUGGGUUUGCUUGUUUGGAUGGCAUGAUGUCCUUCCUUGAAUUUGCUUGGCAUGAAGCCCCCCAAGUCAGCUUGUUGGGGUCAGCAAUUGGUUGUAGAGUUGGGUUAUAUUCUCUUUGGCUUACUCGGGGUCUAGAAACAGAGUAGAGGCUUGCUUGUAAAUGUUUUUUUUUUUUGCAACUUGCUUCAAAGAAGAUCUUUGGAAGAAGCAGACUGAAGAUGAGAAGGAAGAGGCCAAGCGAGUUACUGGAAAAGAUACAUACAGCUUGUUUUCCUCCAGAUAAUUAACAAACAGUUUGCUUUCCUCCAGGAGGAAAACUGAAAUUUACAGCAGCUUCUGGAUUCUAGUCUCUCUCUUUUGCUUGGCAUGAAGCCCCCAAGUCAUUUGGAGUUGCAUGUGCAGCUUGCUAUGAUGGAUUAGCCUAAGCCCCCAUAGGCCUUUCGCAAGAUGUUUUGUCUGAGAAGGAGCCACUACAAGACUAAUGGCCUAGUCCCCAGUAGAGUUGUCAUUUAUGUUGGGGUCUUUUUCGUCUGAAGGCUUAUCCGGGUUUUGUUGAUUCUUGGAUCGCCAUAGAGUGAUGAAUGAAGCCUUCGUUGCCCAUUUUUCUGAGUUAGCGAGAACUAGGCCCAAAGUAUCCCGAUGAAAAACCAAGUCCCGGGGGAGUACUUUGUUCUUCUUCCAGCGGCUGCAUGUUUUGUGUUGAUGUUUCCGGCAGCUCGACGAAGAGUUGAAGAUGACUUGCUGAUGUUGAUAUGAGAUUAUAUGAGCUUGGCAUGAGAACUUGGAGUGUGGGAGGUAAAGACCCAUAAGUUUAGCAAAUGAGAAUGCAUGUGCUUGCCCUGGUAUUGGAUAUGUUUGAGUUUGGUGUUGAUAAUUUGUUGUGUGUGGCUAUGGCUAUAGGGAUUUAAGAGUUUCAAGAGAAGGAGGAUGGAAGGAAAAGCUUAAGGUUUGAAGGCUAUGGUGUUUAAAGCUUGGAAGGAAGGAAAAGCUUGGAGCUUGGUGAUGCUUUAUGGGGGUUAGUGGCUGUUGGGAUGCUUGCAGCAGCUGAGUGAAGGAUUGUUGGCUGAAGAAAAAUUAGAAGCUGCUGGAAUGCUUGCAGCAGCUGAAGAAAGGUGAGUUCUCAUGGUUGUUGAGAAGCUUGCAACAACCAAGAUGGGUUGCUUUGGCUGAGAAAUGCCUCCCAAUUUAUAGAAAGUGAGGGGUUUUCUUUAUUUCCAAUAGGUAAAUGGAGGUGCUGGAACCAGCUUAUUUCCAAUGAUUAAAAGGGAGCACUAGGUCAUGCUAUUUUCCAACAGGUGAAGCUAGAUACUAUAAACUGAUUAUUUCCUAUGUUUAAAAGGAAGCUCUGGAAACGACUUGUUUCCAGCAGGUAAUAGGGAGUGCUGGAAAAGGCUUGUUUCCAACGGGUAAAGGUAGGCAUUUGAAAAAUGACUAUUUCCUAUGGGUAAAAGGAAGUGCUUGAAAAAUAUCUCAUUUGCUCACCCACAUUGGAGAACUCUAAGUAAUGGGCUUGGACUUUGGUGCUCCCAAGUAGCUAGCCCAAAGUCUUCAUUAUCCAAGAGUUUUCGUGGGCCUUGUUGACCUCCGUAACCUCCCACACCACAAUCCCUCGUGCAAGCUCCGUAAACCACAUGACUUGAGUUCAUGUGAGCUUGGUAGGUGAUUGGCAUAGGAAAAAUAUAUUAUUGAUUUGGUAUGGCAUGUACACUAUUUAUAUAUUUAUUUAAUAAAUUAAUU